rnacentral:rRNA from 1 species
UACGUAGGGGGCUAGCGUUGUCCGGAAUCAUUGGGCGUAAAGCGCGUGUAGGCGGUCCGGUAAGUCCGCUGUGAAAGUCGGGGGCUCAACCCUCGAAUGCCGGCGGAUACUGUCGGGCUAGAAUGCGGAAGAGGCGAGUGGAAUUCCUGGUGUAGCGGUGAAAUGCGCAGAUAUCAGGAGGAACACCAAUUGCGAAGGCAGCUCGCUGGGACGUUACUGACGCUGAGACGCGAAAGCGUGGGGAGCAAACAGG